rnacentral:rRNA from 1 species
CCUACGUGAGGCAGCAGUGAGGAAUAUUGGUCAAUGGGCGGAAGCCUGAACCAGCCAAGUAGCGUGCAGGAUGACGGCCCUACGGGUUGUAAACUGCUUUUAUACGGGAAUAACGCGCCUUACGUGUAGGGCUUUGCAUGUACCGUAUGAAUAAGGACCGGCUAAUUCCGUGCCAGCAGCCGUGGUAAUACGGAAGGUCCGGGCGUUAUCAGGAUUGUUUGGGUGUAAAGGGAGCGUAGGCCGCAUGUCAAGCGUGCUGUGAAAUGUCCGGGCUCAACCCGGGCCUUGCAGCGCGAACUGGCGUGCUUGAGUCCGCGGAAAGCAGGCGGAAUUCGUCGUGUAGCGGUGAAAUGCUUAGAUAUGACGAAGAACCCCGAUUGCGAAGGCAGCUUGCUGCAGCGGAACUGACGCUGAUGCUCGAAAGCGCGGGUAUCGAACAGGAUUAGAUACCCUGGUAGUC